rnacentral:rRNA from 1 species
GACGGAGGAUGCAAGCGUUAUCCGGAAUUAUUGGGCGUAAAGCGUCCGUAGGUGGCCUUGUAAGUCAGUUGUUAAAGCCCACAGCUCAACUGUGGAGUGGCAAUUGAAACUACAAAGCUAGAGAGUGGUAGGGGUAGAGGGAAUUCCUAGUGUAGCGGUGAAAUGCGUAGAUAUUGGGAAGAACACCAGUGGCGAAGGCGCUCAACUGGGCCAUAACUGACACUCAGGGACGAAAGCUAGGGUAGCGAAAGGG